CGCACGUCCCGGCCCCUCAGCGCCGUCCUCUGGGUCCCCGCGUCCCGCCCCUCCCCCAGGACGCCGCACCCGGAACCGGGCCCACCCCCCUUUCUCUGCCUCCCGGACCCCGACCUCGGCCCCCGCGCUCGUCCCUGGUCCGGGCCCCACCCGCCCUGGCAGGCCCUGCGCGCCCCCCGGAGACUCCGGAGCGGCCACCCCUGGACGCGGCCCGCUGGCGGGAGGGGACCGCGGCGCUGGGUGAGCCUCGGGUGCGGGCCUGGGCUGGCGCGCAGGCGGCGUGGGGCCCCUGUAGGGUCCGCUGUGGGCACACGGGGCCCCUGCUCUCUGGCUGCACGUCGCAUUCUGGGGUGCGUGCUUCGUUCCUGUUGUAAGGGAUGCUUUGUCGGGUCUGGCCUGUGACCAGGAUCAACUUUACUACGCAACCUGGGCUGCCACGUGGGAGGGAGCGGUUUGCUGAGAUCCUGCAAUGGGACAGUGGUGUCGGGGAGACCCGACGGCGCCGCGAGGAGGGGGCCUCUUGCUGCGGGAAACCUCCGGGGACGUGCUGGCCCAGCCUGGGUGUCCCCGCUACCUGGCUGCCAGCUGGGCUUGCGGUGGCCUCAGAUCCACUGUCAAGAGGGCCUUUUGACUCCAGAACAAUUCUUCCAAGCAACCACCGCUUCGGCUGCCUGUGGGGCUGUCCAGUUUCCAGGGAGCACACUUCCAAUUGUGAGAAUACGAUUUCCGGGAAGACGGAGGUUUUUGAAUGUGCAAAGUAUGGGAAAGAACACUAAAGUGAAAAGUUCUUCAGGCUUUGAGGUUGUCACUUCCCCAGGACGCCUGCUUUUGCUCAAAGUCCCUUGAUGGGGCUGGUCCUCAUGGCGUGGAAGGGGACGGUGAGCAGGAGGGCCCAAUGGUGCCGCCCUCCCGCGUGCGCACAGGGUGAGGUCGUCCCCAGCCUGGCUCCCAGGCCCUGGGCCCCGCCACCGUGUGUAUCCGGAGCCGGCCCCUCUGCCUGCUGGCCCCUGUGCCCACUGCUCUGCCUGGGCCUCCGCCUGCCGCAUGCCGUCCCCUGCCGAGCGCUGUGCUUCUCCAAGUAGGGCUUGGGAUAUGGCCGCUCAUCCUGUGCCCCUCAUCCAUUCCUCCUCUUCAAUCCUCACCCCACCCAGCCACCAGGUUCUCUCCCUGAGUCACUCUCAGCCCAGCAGGCUUUCUUCCUCCUGCGCUCUGCUCCUCAGAAGUCCCCGGGGGUGCCCCAUGAACUCCCAACCCCUGCUGUGGUUUCCAGGGCUUUCACAGCCCCACUGCUGCCCCAGCUCUGUCUUGGCUGCCUCAGGAGUCCUCUCUCUUCCUGCCUUCCUGGUCCCUCCUGGCUCCCUGGGAGAAGCAUCAAGCCCCUCCUCCCUGGAGGUCCCCAGAGGCCACUUCCGUAUCCCUGUCAUAGUUGCGGCCCCGGGUCAGCAGGAGCACAGGGGCGAGCUGUGUUUUGUCUAAAAGUGUGCGCCCACUGCCCUGGUGAGAAGCUGGGCAGAGACUCUCAUGGUUUGGGUACAGAUGUCAGGGCAGAGCCAGAAGUGCCCAACCCCUGGUCCUGCUUUCCUCCCCAAGUCCUCAGAGCAGCGAGCUGCUCCCAGUGGCUCUUGGGCAGGGGGUCACCGAGAGACUCCUGGUCCGGAGAUUGGAGAUUGAAGCUUCAAGCAGCUUUUCUCCCUUGGGCUGAAGCCAGGCAGAGAUCCUGGCUUUAGGUGUCUCGGCCUCUCGGAGGGAGGGUGGCCUUGUAUGCGCCUUGUUGCCGCUUCAGGGGCCCCAUCUGUAGUUCGGCGUGUUUGUACAUCCAGCUGCUUCUGCUGGUUGUUGCAGUGUGUGGCUCAAGGCUAUAGUUUGUAAAUGUUCUCAGAGCUCUCUGCAGAAACAUUCUGCUUUUCACCAAGCAUUGCUUUGCAAAGCUUUUACUUUUAUGUGAUAUAUUCUUAUAAAGUUUCCACAGAGUGAAAUAGCCUAUCUUUCUUACCCAAAGAAGCUGGUCCAGUAGUGCCUGACACACUUGAGAACCAUCAGAAACCCAGCUAAGUUCCCAGUUGAGAUAAAUCAGUGAGUACCUGCAUUUACCUGUGAGCAUUUGCCCCCUGGGAGGGGCUGCUGGGUGUCUUCGGAUUAAUGCCAUGUGGGGACACCUCCUUCUCCAGCCAGCCCAUCUGUCAUUUAACUACAGAUUUAGUGAGGAGCUUAAGUAUGUCUUUGGACAGAAAACAGCACGUUAAGAUCUGAAAAGAGGUACCAAAGCCGUCAGGGUCUGUAAUACAUGCAAUGUUGUAAUCCCCUGGCUAAAGCAAGGACAUAGAGUUUAGGACGGUGAACAGUAUGGCGCAGGGUCUUGGUGAAUUCAGCUAAAGUUCUUCAUAGUCACACAUUAAUGUGUUGUUUUGAAGUCAUGAAGUGGUUUUCUGUCACCCAGGGUUUUCACGGAACUCCCCUUGGAAUCUGUGGCUGUGAGCAUUUCCCACCCUGGUUCUGAUGCAUUUGCCCCAUUUCCAAAGUCUGUGCAGCUCAGAGCCAGAGUCGGCAAGAACUUACUUCCUGGAAAGCCUGAUGCAGCUUGGAGCUGAGGCCUUGGACGGGCGUCGCUAGCUCAGAGCGGAGGAGGCUGCUGGGUGCCCGCUUGCCCACGCCGGCUAAUCCACAGAAAGGAUUAGGGUGAGGGUUGAGUUCAGGGACAGAUUCUGCCCCUCCCUGCCUGGUGGCCCUGCAUGGAAUUUACCCAAAAGUGGGCCAUCUUUUUCUCCACAUUUUUAUACAAAUGCCUGAGUUACGGUUUGUUUUAUAAAACUCAGGAGCAGGACUCUGCUCUCUCAGCCUCACUCCUAAGUCCUGUGUGGCCACUGUGGAGCAGGGAGUCCUGUGCCUGCCACCUCGCCGGGCUCCUCAUGCAGAUGGCCGCGUUUGCAGAGUGUUCCUGACCCUUGGUGCCCCCAGCACACAUGCACAGGGAUGGGCUUUCUCAGGCUUCUCUGAGCUACGCCGGCUGCCCACUGGAUCCCUGGGUGCUGCCUGCCUGGAUUCACUGACAGCAAAGCACCAUCAGUUUCACGCAGAAAUCUGUGAUUGUGGCGUAAAGCUCGUCUUCAGCGGACACUGUCUUUGCACUCCUGUUUCACUGUGAGAAAGAGCCCUUCAUCUUUAUAUCGUCAGCACUCAUCUGGGCCAACUUUUACACUCUGCAGCUUCUGGCCUGUUUCAGGCCUCGAGUCUGGCGUGAGCCGUGGGAGCCGCUUUCUUCCCCUACACGUGCACCCUGCUCUGCGCACUUCCUACAGACACAGCUUCCUUCUUCCCACAUCAGCCCGAGUGAGGUGGCACCUUCCCAUUCCCAGGCAGUACUGACACCCAGGACUGCAUCCCCUUGUCCCCUGUGUGGGGAGGCACUGCCAGGGGUGGGGGCUCCUGCCUGGGGACGGCAGCCUUUUCCAAACCUCAGUUUGACUCUUGAAUUUCAAAUGUCCCCCCUGUUGCUGUGUGAACGGUGUUCUUUAGAAAAUGUCAAGCUGUGGUCACUACCUGCUUCCAUUUCAUUUAAAUCAUUUCUUCCUGAGAGUGGUACUCUCUGCAGUUGAAUGAUCUAAUUCUCAUAUAGAAGUGUUAGGAUUUGGUGCCUACAAAAAUGGCCACUCAGGAGCCCUGCUGCAGGUGCCGGGCGCAGGACUCAACCACCACACCUGCUGGCUGUUUGGCCGAUGGCCGGUGCCUCUUGUGCCCACAUGGACGGAGUGCCCUCAAGUGCUAUAAGGGCCCAGGCAGUGGAGAGCACGGCUCCCACUGCUCUUGUCUGAGAAGCACCCUGGGCUGUACUGCUUGGCUGUGCCUGGUUGGGAGUGUCCAAGCCAGACUUCCCCGAGGUCAUCCAUCUUGCUAAGCCAUGUCCCUGUCCCUGACGCAGAGACUGCAGGCGGAGCCCUCCUGCCCUUCAUCUUCCUGUUUCCAGGGCCCUCGUCCCCACGCGGCCCAUGGCAAAAGUGCCACGGUUCCCACAAUGUCCUGGGGCCUCGACUGCUCUCUCCCUGCCCUGUGGGCCUCCUGUGGGUGCUGGGGCAUGCUUACCAUUCCCGGUUCCUGUUUCUAGCAUCUUUAGUAUAAACCUUUAAUCUAGCUGUGGAUCAUUUUGAACAUGAGCCCAGGGGAAAAAAGCAUGAUGCUAGGCUUGUGUUUGGAAAUUACGUGAUUUUCCAAUGUGAUCAGUGUUUGUCCUUCUGAAGCCCAAGUCCGUUCGCAACCCUGGGUGAUACUGUGUGCUGUGUUAACACCAGCGCGUCCCUGGCUGCUCAGCCGUGUUCUAGCAGUGUGAGCUUAGCUGUGUUGAAGGUGAGGUGCUGUUCUUGAACUUCCACACAGUCAGCCCUCGGCUGCCGUCAGUGUGGUCUCUGCUGUGCUGUGAUUGGUGGCCCUCCAACCUCGUCCCCUGUCCCCUUGUCCCCUGUGUGGGGAGGCACUGCCGGGGUGGGAGCUGGUACCUGGAGACAGCAGCCUUUUCCAAACCUUGAUUUUACUCUUAAAUUUCACACUUCCUUCUUAGAGCCAGAGGAGUGAGUGAUUUCCUCUUAAAAGUUAUUUGCCACAUACAAGCUUAAACAUAGGAAAAGAAAGAAAACAAUCCCUCUCCCAGUUCCCAAUGUUUCAAAACUCUUGGGGUAGAACCAAGGCUGGGCCAAGAUGCUGGAGGGCAGGGGUCCUGGAGCCGGGGAGGCCUGGUGUCCGAGCACAGACGCGACUUUGGCGCCCCGGGACAGUGGGGAUGCCGCCGAGCUGGGCGGGCGAGGAUCAGGGAUGGAAUGCCUGGGCCCUUUGUAGUGGAGUCUGUUUGCUGUCCGAGGCUACCCCUGGAGCGCUUAGAUCCACCUUUCUGCAGCAGUGAGUCACUGCCCCUAUCAGGGAAGGGUCAUGCUCACCUCUGCGCCACGUGAAUCAUCACUGUGACAUCGUCGUGGGUCCUGUGCGUCCAUCAAGCUCAGCAAGUCCCAGUGAUCUGGGUCAUUUCUGCCUCCGCAACAACCGCCCCCAGGCAGUGACCUCCAGCCCUCGGCAGCCCUCCCCCUCCGUCCACAGCCGCACGUCAGGCUGGUCACCUCUGUCCCUCCAUGUGCUCAGAGGAGUGGACAUACCUGUGAGGGCCCACAGCCCCUGCCCACUCCUGUUCCACCCGCUGGCCAGCACCAGGGGUCAGCCUUGCCCCAGAGAUAUUACUGGUGGGCCAGGGGUCUCCCUACAGCUGGGGGGAGCAGGAUGUACUGGGUGGAGGGUCUCCCAUAGCUGGGGACAGGGCCAGGAUGUGCUUGGUGGGCUCCCUGGAGAUGGUGGCACAGACCCAGAAUUGUGGGGACAGAGGCGCUCCUGCAGCUCGGGGGCAUGGGGGGAGCCAGGAUGUUCUGGGGGGCUUCCUGUAUCUGCUGGUAGUGUGAGGCAGGGUAUACAGGGGAGGCUGGGGGCUCCUGCUGCUUUUGAGGGGCUGGGCCAGGAUGUUCUGGUGGGGGAGGGGGUCUCUAUAUCUACAGGUAGUAUGGGGCAGGGUGUAGAGGGCAGUCUGGGAGCUCCUGCGGCUUUCGAGGGGCUGGGCCAGAAUAUGCUGGGGGACUCCCCAUAUCUUUGGGCAGUUCGGAGUAGGAUGGGCUGGGCAGGCUGGGGGCACUUGCAGCAGGAGCCCCUGAUACAGGCUGUGCUGGGGGCAGGGCUGCCACCGCAGGGGGCUUGGGAGGUGCUCUCCACCAGGGCCCCCCUGGCUUUCUGCAGAUAUUUUUUAAACAAGUGCAAGCAGUUGGAAAUGUCACAGAUCCUGACUUUCAGGAUUCUUUUUACUCAGACCGUGCAGAAGAUCAGGGAGAUAGGCACCUCGAGAGGGUCUGUCUCAGGGCCUGCGCUGAGCAGGAAAGGUGCUGCCUUGGGGAAGGGUCCCCUGAGGGGAGCUGCGGUUCCCGAGGUGUGGGUGAGGGUCCUGUUGCAGCUGGAGGUGGAAGGUGGGUCCUGGCGGAGCGUGCAGGUAGGUCGUCUUGUUGGAGUGGAGCCCGCUUCUCCUGAGCCCCCCAUGCAUGCUGUGUCGCUGUCUGCAGUGCCUGCAGGGUUCCCAGCCCCUGAGGUCCGCAGACACCAACAAAGCGAAAUGCUGCUGCAAGCCUUGGCCUGUCGGGGAUGCGUUCCCAGCUCCGGAACUAAAGUGUGGAAAAGGUGCACCUUGGUCAGGGUGUGGCCUUUGCUUCACUUCACCACCUGUGGGCCCUGUCUGGACUCUGAGUCCCUCACUGCGGAGCAGACCCCCAGGGUCCUGGGACACAGCCUGGGGCUCAGGAAUGAGCUGCUGCAGGAACAGUCUUAAGAAGCAGGCUGCCUCUCACUGCGCAUGCUUGGUGUUGGCGUGGCUCUUCUCUAAAGCUGUGAGGCCCCGUCCCUGCCGAUGGCCCCAUGCUGCUGGGGCAGCAGGGCUGGCGUUUUGACCCUGUUUGUUGUUUUAGGCUGUCGCUCACUGGGCAGAUGAGGCUGGGGCCUCCCUGUGCCUGGCCUGUGCUGAGCCGCGGCAUCUCCUGUGCUGCCGCUCCCCUCAGCCUCAGGGACAAAGCACGGCCCUGCCGUCUCCGGCCUCUUCGCAGCAGCUGUGGUGUGGGCCCCGCCCGUGCGCUGCCCAUCUGGCCACGUUCUCAUUGGAGCUUCUCCACUGCCCCUGGGGCUCCGGGGCUCCAUUUCCACACAUGGGAGCUUGGUGCCUUGAAAGCUGCCUUCCGAGGAAUGUAAUCACCGGCGUCCUGCCCCACGGGUGACAGCCUGUGGAAAUAGGUCAGCUGUAACCGAGUCGCUGCAGCCUCCAGAGAGGAACCUGCAGCCAGUUUCUGCUUUUGGAGCUUAGUCUGCUCCCACGGUGGAGUGCAUACAGCCCAGGAACACACUUUCAGUGCUUUUGCUCCCUUCCCUCCUGUUUCUUCUCGUGAGCACCUGCCAUGAGCAGGGCCCUGCCAGGAGCUGAGCCCGUGGGGUGACCAGCCAGCCAUGGAAGGACCUCCCAGCCUGCAGCCUGGAUUGCUCCGGAAUCUCACGUCUAGAGUCUGGGGCUGCAGGAUGGACAUGGGAGACCUCAUGUGGGGACCAGAGGGACAGAACUCUAGCUGGGAGCCCCAAAAACUUUAGGGAAGGGGGAUUUGUGCAGAGCUUCGCAGGUGAGGAGGCAUGAGGACUGUCUGGGAGACUGCGUGGGCAGGACCUGGAGGCUGCCUUGGGGAGCAGUGGGUUGGCCGUGGCCCCUGCCUGCCAUCGGUCAUCUUGAAGCAGGGACUGGGGCGUUGGCUGUGGUGCCCAGAUAGCCACCCUGCGUGGGCCCUCUCUCCACGGGGCCUCUGCACUGUCUCCUUCAGAGUUCUCAGCUGAGCUCACACCCCCACCCCAUGCCCUUUCCCCGCAGGCCCACACCUGGAUGCCUGUAUGUGCCAUCUGAGCCAGGGGGUGCUGCGGUCUCCGUCGGUCUCUUUCCGCCUGCAUCUGGACACCCUUUGUCCAGAGCGCCAUCGCAGGUGCUCAGAACGUGUCUGCAGAAAGAGUAAACGUGUUUUCCU